UACGUAGGGACCGAGCGUUGUCCGGAUUCAUUGGGCGUAAAGAGCUCGUAGGCGGCCACUCAAGUCGAAUGUGAAACCUCGAGGCUUAACCUCGAGCCUGCAUUCGAUACUGGGCGGCUAGAGUCUGGUAGGGGGAUCUGGAAUUCCUGGUGUAGCGGUGGAAUGCGCAGAUAUCAGGAGGAACACCGGUGGCGAAGGCGCUCAUCUGGCCCAAUACUGACGCUGAGGCGCGAAAGCUAGGGGAGCAAACGGG
rnacentral:rRNA from 1 species